rnacentral:rRNA from 1 species
UACUCCUACGGGAGGCAGCAGUGGGGAAUAUUGCACAAUGGGCGAAAGCCUGAUGCAGCAACGCCGCGUGAGUGAUGAAGGUCUUCGGAUUGUAAAGCUCUGUCUUUUGGGACGAUAAUGACGGUACCAAAGGAGGAAGCCACGGCUAACUACGUGCCAGCAGCCGCGGUAAUACGUAGGUGGCGAGCGUUGUCCGGAUUUACUGGGCGUAAAGGGUGCGUAGGCGGAUGUUUAAGUGAGAUGUGAAAUACCCGGGCUUAACUUGGGUGCUGCAUUUCAAACUGGAUAUCUAGAGUGCAGGAGAGGAGAAUGGAAUUCCUAGUGUAGCGGUGAAAUGCGUAGAGAUUAGGAAGAACACCAGUGGCGAAGGCGAUUCUCUGGACUGUAACUGACGCUGAGGCACGAAAGCGUGGGUAGCAAACAGGAUUAGAUACCCUGGUAGUC